rnacentral:rRNA from 1 species
UGUGACCUCAAAUCAGGUAGGACUACCCGCUGAACUUAAGCAUAUCAAUAAGCGGAGGAAAAGAAACUAACAAGGAUUCCCCUAGUAACUGCGAGUGAAGCGGGAAAAGCUCAAAUUUAAAAUCUGUCAGUCUUUGGCUGUCCGAGUUGUAAUCUAGAGAAGUGUUAUCCGCGCUGGACCGUGUACAAGUCUCCUGGAAUGGAGCGU